rnacentral:rRNA from 1 species
CACGUAGUUAGCCGGAGCUUCCUCCUCUGCUACCGUCAUUAUCUUCACAGAGGACAGAGGUUUACAAUCCGAAAACCGUCUUCCCUCACGCGGCGUUGCUGGUUCAGGGCUUCCCCCAUUGACCAAUAUCCCUCACUGCUGCCUCCCGUAGGAGUCUGGGCCGUGUCUCAGUCCCAAUGUGGCCGUUCAACCUCUCAGUCCGGCUACCGAUCGUCGGCUUGGUGGGCCGUUGCCCCGCCAACUACCUAAUCGGACGCGAGCCCAUCUUUCAGCGGAUUGCUCCUUUGAUUAUCAAGCCAUGCAGCUCAAUAAUAUCAUGCGGUAUUAGCGUUCGUUUCCAAACGUUAUCCCCCUCUGAAAGGCAGGUUGCUCACGCGUUACUCACCCGUCCGCCACUAAGAUAUCCAAGAAUCAUUACCGAAGUACUUCAUCAGCGGAUAUCUCCGUUCGACUUGCAUGUGUUAGGCACGCCGCCAGCGUUCGUCCUGAGCCAGGAUA